rnacentral:tRNA from 1 species
GUCAGGAUGGCCGAGCGGUCUAAGGCGCCAGACUCAAGAGCAAUCUUGCCGUAAAGCAACGGUUACUGAGCGUUCUGGUCCUCUCUGAGGGCGUGGGUUCAAAUCCCACUCCUGACA